rnacentral:rRNA from 1 species
UUGCCCUAGUAACGGCGAGUGAAGCGGCAACAGCUCAAAUUUGAAAUCUGGCCUCGGCCCGAGUUGUAAUUUGUAGAGGAUGCUUUUGGCGCGGCGCCUUCUGAGUUCCCUGGAACGGGACGCCAGAGAGGGUGAGAGCCCCGUACGGUUGGACGCCAAGCCUCUGUAAAGCUCCUUCGACGAGUCGAGUAGUUUGGGAAUGCUGCUCAAAAUGGGAGGUAAAUGCCUUCUAAAGCUAAAUACUGGCCAGAGACCGAUAGCGCACAAGUAGAGUGAUCGAAAGAUGAAAAGCACUUUGAAAAGAGGGUUAAAUAGCACGUGAAAUUGUUGAAAGGGAAGCGCUCAUGACCAGACGUGUGCCUCGUGAAUCAUCCGGCGUUCUCGCCGGUGCACUUCGCCUGGCACAGGCCAGCAUCGGUUUUCCCAGGGGGAUAAAAGCCGAGGGAACGUAGCUCUUCCGGGAGUGUUAUAGCCCGUGGCACAAUGCCCUUGGGGGGACCGAGGCCCGCGCUCCGCAAGGAUGCUGGCAUAAUGGUCAUCAGCGACCCGUCUUGAAACACGGACCAAGGAGUCAAGCAUUAGGGCGAGUGUUUGGGUGUCAAACCCGCACGCGAAAUGAAAGUGAACGCAGGUGAGAGCUUCGGCGCAUCAUCGACCGAUCCUGAUGUAUUCGGAUGGAUUUGAGUAAGAGCCUUACCGCUUGGACCCGAAAGAUGGUGAACUAUGCCUGGAUAGGGUGAAGCCAGAGGAAACUCUGGUGGAGGCUCCCAGCGGUUCUGACGUGCAAAUCGAUCGUCAAAUCUGGGCAUGGGGGCGAAAGACUAAUCGAACCAUC